GAUGAACGCUGGCGGCGUGCCUAAUACAUGCAAGUCGAGCGAACGGACGAGAAGCUUGCUUCUCUGAUGUUAGCGGCGGACGGGUGAGUAACACGUGGAUAACCUACCUAUAAGACUGGGAUAACUUCGGGAAACCGUAGCUAAUACCGGAUAAUAUUUUGAACCGCAUGGUUCAAAAGUGAAAGACGGUGUUGCUGUCACUUAUAGAUGGAUCCGCGCUGCAUUAGCUAGUUGGUAAGGUAACGGCUUACCAAGGCAACGAUGCAUAGCCGACCUGAGAGGGUGAUCGGCCACACUGGAACUGAGACACGGUCCAGACUCCUACGGGAGGCAGCAGUAGGGAAUCUGCCGCAAUGGGCGAAAGCCUGACGGAGCAACGCCGCGUGAGUGAUGAAGGUCUUCGGAUCGUAAAACUCUGUUAUUAGGGAAGAACAUAUGUGUAAGUAACUGUGCACAUCUUGACGGUACCUAAUAAGAAAGCCACGGCUAACUACGUG
rnacentral:rRNA from 1 species